UUUUGAAUACGAAUUUUCCUCGUUUUGAAUACGACUUCUCUCUGUCUUGGAUACGGAUUUCUCCUGUUACCUAACUGUCAAAACUACGUCACGGGGUCACAGGCUUAUGCAUCGAGUGCCGGAACAUCGAGCCGCCGAGCCGGCUAACGACGCAUGCGCACUGCAGUUUAGCACUCAUGGGCUGUCCAAUAACUUUAUUGAAAAAAAACAACAAAAGUCGUUUUAACUUUGCUAGCUAGUUUCCUGUAGCCUGACCACCGUGAGUGGAACUUGUUGUGAAUCAUUUAGCUCGAAAUGAUUCUGAGUUUUUUUUUUCUUUUAUUUAACUUUUACUUUUGGAGGAGUUGGAGCAGAUCCAUCGCCACCGCUGCCGGCACUUGUUGGUAUUUUUUCUGGCAGAGACAAAACAAUCUGCAGACUAGACCCCUGUAAUGCAGAAUCAACCAGUCUGUCAAUCCUGGAGCUGUUUGUCCAACAGUGAAGACCCAAGAGCAGACUUCAGAAUGAACAGGAACUCUCCUGCGGUCUUCCUGAACCUCCUUGAUCAGGAUCGGUGACAUCAGCUUCCUCCUGCAGGUGCUGGAGGUGCAUCACACUUCUGUACCUCAUGUUGUCACAGCGUGUGCCAUCCUCCACAACAUCUGCCUCUGUGUUGACGACACCGAGGCCCCAUAGGAAGAUGUGGGGAUGAUGAGGAGGAAGCUGGUUUGGAGGCCACCAGCGGUGAUCUCUGGCAGGAGCAACUACCUGCUGAGGUUUCUGCCCUGGGGGAGGUACCACCUUGAUUACUGGUAACAGCAUCCGUCGACAGCCAGCCCUGCAAACCCUGAAGAUGGACGAUGCAGUCUACAGUGAAGAUGCAUCCUAAAACUCUCUGCAGACCACCUUGCAAGAUGUUCCAAUCACCACCCAGAAAGUUCCAGCCCGGGUCUCAGUCUUAGCCCCCCCCAUCCAUGUCAACUAUCUUUGUAAAUAGUUGGAAAUAAAAGUUACAAUUAAUCCAUGACAAUCACUGUGUUUGAUUUAGAUCUUUAUUUAAAUUAACAAAACAAAAACAAACAUUUUUAAUAUAUCAAA